rnacentral:rRNA from 1 species
AGUAGCGCACGGGUGCGUAACACGUAUGCAACCUACCUAUAACUGGGGGAUAGCCUCCCGAAAGGGAGAUUAAUACCGCAUAAUAUUAUUGAGUGGCAUCACUUGAUAAUUAAACCUCAGGGGGUUAUAGAUGGGCAUGCGUCCGAUUAGCUAGUUGGUGAGGUAACGGCUCACCAAGGCGACGAUCGGUAGGGGGUCUGAGAGGAUGAUCCCCCACACUGGUACUGAGACACGGACCAGACUCCUACGGGAGGCAGCAGUAAGGAAUAUUGGACAAUGGGCGCAAGCCUGAUCCAGCCAUGCCGCGUGAAGGAUGAAGGCCCUAUGGGUCGUAAACUUCUUUUAAACGGGACGAAACCCCUCGACGUGUCGAGGGCUGACGGUACCGUAAGAAUAAGGGUCGGCUAACUUCGUGCCAGCAGCCGCGGUAAUACGAAGGACCCGAGCGUUAUCCGGAUUUAUUGGGUUUAAAGGGUGCGUAGGCGGACCUAUAAGUCAGUGGUGAAAGCCCAUCGCUCAACGAUGGAAUUGCCAUUGAUACUGUAGGUCUUGAGUAUAGUUGAGGUGGGCGGAAUGUGUCAUGUAGCGGUGAAAUGCUUAGAUAUGACACCGAACACCUAUUGCGAAGGCAGCUCGCUAAGCUAUAACUGACGCUGAGGCACGAAAGUGUGGGUAGCAAACAGGAUUAGAUACCCUGGUA